rnacentral:rRNA from 1 species
GAUGAACGCUAGCGAUAGGCUUAACACAUGCAAGUCGAGGGGUAACGUGUUGGAAGCUUGCUUCCGAUGACGACGACCGGCGGAUGGGUGCGUAACGCGUAUGCAACUUGCCUCACAGAGGAGAAUAACCCGGAGAAAUCCGGACUAAUGCUCCAUACACUCUUUAGCACGCCUGUGCGUAAGAGGAAAGAUUUAUCGCUGUGAGAUAGGCAUGCGUCCUAUUAGGUAGUUGGUGAGGUAACGGCUCACCAAGCCGACGAUAGGUAGGGGUGCUGAGAGGCAGAUCCCCCACAUUGGGACUGAGACACGGCCCAAACUCCUACGGGAGGCAGCAGUGAGGAAUAUUGGUCAAUGGAGGAAACUCUGAACCAGCCAAGUCGCGUGAAGGAAGAAUGUCCUAAGGAUUGUAAACUUCUUUAGCGAGCGAGUAAGGACUUCCACGCGUUGGGAGUUUGAAAGUAGCUCGAGAAUAAGUAUCGGCUAACUCCGUGCCAGCAGCCGCGGUAAUACGGAGGAUACGAGCGUUAUCCGGAUUUAUUGGGUUUAAAGGGUGCGCAGGUGGUCCUGCAAGUCAGUGGUGAAAAGCUGAGGCUCAACCUCAGCCUUGCCGUUGAAACUGCAAGACUUGAGAGUACAUGAUGUGGGCGGAAUGCGUAGUGUAGUGGUGAAAUGCAUAGAUAUUACGCAGAACUCCGAUUGCGAAGGCAGCUCACAAAGGUAUAUCUGACACUGAGGCACGAAAGCGUGGGGAGCAAACAGGAUUAGGUACCCUGGUAGUCCACGCCGUAAACGAUGAUUACUCGAAGUAUGCGAUAUGACAGUAUGCUUCCAAGCGAAAGUGAUAAGUAAUCCACCUGGGAGUACGCCGGCAACGGUGAAACUCAAAGGAAUUGACGGGGGCCCGCACAAGCGGAGGAACAUGUGGUUUAAUUCGAUGAUACGCGAGGAACCUUACCCGGGAUUGAAAUGUAUGUGCACCUCUUGGGAAACCGAGAGGGUUCUCUUCGGAGACACAUAUGUAGGUGCUGCAUGGUUGUCGUCAGCUCGUGCCGUGAGGUGUCGGCUUAAGUGCCAUAACGAGCGCAACCCUUAUCGUUAGUUACUAACAGGUUAAGCUGAGGACUCUGGCGAGACUGCCGUCGUAAGGCGAGAGGAAGGUGGGGAUGACGUCAAAUCAGCACGGCCCUUACAUCCGGGGCGACACACGUGUUACAAUGGUAGGGACAGAGAGUAGCCACUCGGUGACGAGGAGCGGAUCUUGAAACCCUAUCUCAGUUCGGAUCGGAGUCUGCAACUCGACUCCGUGAAGCCGGAUUCGCUAGUAAUCGCGCAUCAGCCAUGGCGCGGUGAAUACGUUCCCGGGCCU